UCAAACUUGGUCAUUUAGAGGAAGUAAAAGUCGUAACAAGGUCUCCGUUGGUGAACCAGCGGAGGGAUCAUUACAGGAGUGCUGGUAUCUCAGCAACCUCUAUAAACCAUGUGAAUAUUACCUCUGUUGCCUCGGCGGGCGUCCUCCCAGACACCCGCCAGAGGACCCAAACUCUUGUCUCUUGAUUUGGCAUUUCUGAGUCUGAGUGAAAAAUUAAAUCAAAACUUUCAACAACGGAUCUCUUGGUUCUGGCAUCGAUGAAGAACGCAGC
rnacentral:misc_RNA from 1 species